rnacentral:rRNA from 1 species
UACAGAGGGGGCAAGCGUUAUUCGGAAUUAUUGGGCGUAAAGGGCGCGUAGGCGGCUUGGCAAGUGGAAGGUGAAAUCCCUCGGCUUAACCGAGGAACUGCCCUCCAAACUGCUUUGCUUGAGGCCGGGAGAGGCGAGUGGAAUUCCCAGUGUAGCGGUGAAAUGUGUUGAUAUCGGUGGGAACGCCAGUGGCGAAAGCGGCAAACUUGACCCUUCCUGACGCUGAGGCGCGAAAGCUAGGGGAGCAAACGGG